GAGCUUCAGUUGAGGAAAUGCCUCCAUGAGAUCCAACUGUAAGGCAUUUUCUCAAUUAGUGAUCAAGGGGGAAAGGUCCCUUGUGGGUGGUGCCAUCUCUGGGCUGGCAGUCUUGAGUUCUAUAAGAGAGCAGGCUGAGCAAGCCAGAGCAAGCAAGCCAGUAAAGAACAUCCCUCCAUGGCCUCUGCAUCAGCUUCUGCUUCCUGACCUGCUUGAGUUCCAGUCCUGACUUCCUUGGUGAUGAACAGCAGCAUGGAAGUGUAAGCCAAAUAAACCCUUUCCUCCCCAACUUGCUUCUUGGUCAUGAUGUCUGUGCAGGAAUAGAAACCCUGACUAAGACAGUGGGUGAAGGAAAAAAACAAAAGGAGGACAUGGUAGCUCCUGGGUAUAGUGGAGGAGAAGGAUUAGAGUACACGUGAGGGGGAGCAGAGGCAGAGGCAGAGGCAACUGGGAGAAUGCAGGCUGAACAUGACCAGCAAACUGAGCCAAGCCAUGUCAGCAGAGCGGGGAGCGGGAGAGCCAGAAGCUGAUAGGCCAGGAGGCCAGGAGACCUAAAAGGGCCCCCAAAAGCAAAAGAUCACAUAGCCAAAAUGGCUGGGUUAUAUAGGGAAGAGCAGCUGGUGGAAGGGCAACCCUGCCCAGUCCCUGGGGCUGGAGAAGUUUAAGGGAGUGUGGGAUAUGGCAGCCGCAGGACCCUGUAACAGGUAAGGGACUGAGAGAUGCUGAGAGGAGAUGCUGAGAGAACCUGGUGGCCGGCAUCGGCUUUGAUAUGUUCAUGGACGUCUUGGUUAUGGGGGUGGGGGUGGUUUGAGACCUAAUGUCCCGGCCUUUUUGUUGUUGGUAAAGGUUGAGGAAGGACGAAGGGCCAUAAAGGGUGACAUAAUCUUUAUCUACUUUCUGCUGAAAUUGCAGUCAUCGAGAGCUCGAAGGCAGGAGUAUCAAGAUCACAGAAUAUUUAAUAAACAAAAACAGCUUACGUGGUUGUUGAGUGGGGAACACAGACCGCAUCUUAAGCAUGUGUGUUCCUGGAUCUCUUGGUCCAAACUUUCCCACGGCUCCGGAACUACUUAAUCUAUUGGCCUGAGAAGAGUUAUUAGGUAAGUGGCCUCUCUUCCCCCAGCUCCCUGAAGAGAGUCUGCCUCCCCCCA
rnacentral:lncRNA from 1 species